AACACGUAGUUAACCUACCCUUAAGAGGGGGACAACUGAGGGAAACUUCAGCUAAUACCGCAUAAGACCACGGACUGGGAUGUUAGUGGUAAAAGCCCAAUUUGAAAGAGUUGGGCACUUAGGGAUGGGACUGCGGCCUAUCAGGUAGUUGGUGGGGUAAAGGCCCACCAAGCCAAAGACGGGUAGCCGGACUGAGAGGUUGAACGGCCACACUGGAACUGAGACACGGUCCAGACUCCUACGGGAGGCAGCAGUGGGGAAUUUUGCACAAUGGGCGCAAGCCUGAUGCAGCGACGCCGCGUGGAGGAAGAAGGCCUUCGGGUUGUAAACUCCUUUUGUAGGGGACAAUAAUGAUGGUACCCUAUGAAUAAGCCACGGCUAACUCUGUGCCAGCAGCCGCGGUAAGACAGAGGUGGCGAGCGUUGUUCGGAAUUACUGGGCUUAAAGGGCGCGUAGGCGGUAGUAUAAGUCUGGGGUGGAAUCUUACGGCUUAACCAUAAGACUGCCUUGGAAACUGUAUUACUUGAGUCGGUGAGGGGAAGGCGGAAUUCCUGGUGUAGCGGUGAAAUGCGUAGAUAUCAGGAGG
rnacentral:rRNA from 1 species